rnacentral:rRNA from 1 species
GGGGAAUCUUGCGCAAUGGGCGAAAGCCUGACGCAGCAACGCCGCGUGCGGGAUGAAGGCCUUCGGGUUGUAAACCGCUUUCAGCAGGGACGAAAUUGACGGUACCUGCAGAAGAAGCCCCGGCCAACUACGUGCCAGCAGCCGCGGUAACACGUAGGGGGCGAGCGUUGUCCGGAUUUAUUGGGCGUAAAGAGCUCGUAGGCGGUUCUGUAAGUCGGGUGUGAAAACUCUGGGCUCAACCCAGAGACGCCACUCGAUACUGCGGUGACUAGAGUCCGGUAGGGGAGUGUGGAAUUCCUGGUGUAGCGGUGAAAUGCGCAGAUAUCAGGAGGAACACCAACGGCGAAGGCAGCACUCUGGGCCGGUACUGACGCUGAGGAGCGAAAGCGUGGGGAGCGAAC